UAAACCAACAAGGAGCUCUUCGAAGACAUUGCAUUUAAACGAGAACUGUUGUCCCUAACUGUGCACUGCAUCAACAAGGAAAUGGCUGUGAGUGGAAA